rnacentral:lncRNA from 1 species
UGGUCUUACCUAUAUAUAUAGUUUUAAAUUGAUUGAAUUUAUUUGGUUUUUUUUGGGUGCGGAAUGUGGUUUGCCUCUAAGCAACUUUUGGCAGUGGAAUAUUUGAAUCUCUUCUAUGAUUUUUUUUUCUUUUUCUUUUUAAAGAAUUAUAAAAAUAUAAUUGGUUCAAAUAAUAUAAAUAAUAUAAUGUCAACAAUAAUGAAUAAUUCAGCCAAAACUGUGAGAAGAAGAAGAAGAUAACGAAGGCCAAACAAAACACUUUUUUUUGGUAAGAUGGAUGGAAAGCUAUUUUUUAUGCAUCCUAUCCAGAAUAAUUCGAUAUCUCUUUUUAGACUACCAAACCAAACUCAUGGGCGUUAUUAAAAACGUUUGAAAUUUUAUGCGAGACGAAUCCUCACAAUAUA